rnacentral:rRNA from 1 species
UACGUAGGGUGCAAGCGUUGUCCGGAAUUAUUGGGCGUAAAGAGCUCGUAGGCGGUUUGUCGCGUCGAAUGUGAAAAUCCGGGGCUCAACCCCGGGCCUGCAUUCGAUACGGGCAGACUAGAGUUCGGUAGGGGAGUCUGGAAUUCCUGGUGUAGCGGUGAAAUGCGCAGAUAUCAGGAGGAACACCGGUGGCGAAGGCGGGACUCUGGGCCGAUACUGACGCUGAGGAGCGAAAGCGUGGGGAGCAAACAGG